rnacentral:rRNA from 2 species
UACGGAGGGGGCUAGCGUUGUUCGGAAUUACUGGGCGUAAAGCGCGCGUAGGCGGCUUUGUAAGUUAGAGGUGAAAGCCCGGGGCUCAACCCCGGAAUUGCCUUUAAGACUGCAUCGCUAGAAUCGUGGAGAGGUAAGUGGAAUUCCGAGUGUAGAGGUGAAAUUCGUAGAUAUUCGGAAGAACACCAGUGGCGAAGGCGACUUACUGGACACGUAUUGACGCUGAGGUGCGAAAGCGUGGGGAGCAAACAGG